rnacentral:siRNA from 1 species
AGGUUGACCACUUGAUCACUGUGC